rnacentral:lncRNA from 1 species
UCAAUUUCUGGAUUAAACGGUGUCAAUGUCGAUCCUGAGCUACAAAUACACAAGCAGAAAAUACCUCAGUAGCACUAUGAUUAUUAAGAAAAUAAAACAAAAAUAAAAAAGACUAAAAAUAAAACGUUGCACAAAAGUAUCCUUGUUGAGAUAUCAAUAGUCCCCGAUAACAACGCAGAAAAAUUUGAUGAAUUCUCGGCAAGUGUACCGAUAAUGUCGUAGUAAUAAAAAAGAUCGAAC